AGUAUUUUGACUAUACAAAGGUAUUGAAAUAAGACUUUAAUUGAGUGCUAAGAGAAUGGAAUUUCAUAAAAACUCUUUUUUAAUUUUAAAAAUUGAAGUUAAUUUUAUAUGUGAAGAGACAAUAAUAAAAAUUAAGGACAAGAAGACCCUAAGAAUUUUAAAAAUUUAAAUAAAAAUUUUAAUUUUAUUUAAAUUUUUUAAUUGGGGCGAUUAUUAAAUAUUAACAACUUUAAUUUUUUUUAAAAAGAACCAAUAUUAUUGGUUAUUUGUAAAAAUACUCUAGGGAUAACAGCGUAAUAAUUUUUGAUAGUUCUUAUAGACAAAAUAGUUUGCGACCUCGAUGUUGGAUUAGGAUUCUUUUUUAAUGAAGAAGUUAAAAAAAGAAGUUUGUUCAACUUUUAAAUUCCU
rnacentral:rRNA from 1 species